rnacentral:rRNA from 1 species
CAGCCGCCGCGGGAAUACGGAGGGUGCAAGCGUUACUCGGAAUCACUGGGCGUAAGGGACGCGUAGGCGGAUUAUCAAGUCUCUUGUGAAAUCUAACGGCUUAACCGUUAAACUGCUUGGGAAACUGAUAAUCUAGAGUAAGGGAGAGGCAGAUGGAAUUCUUGGUGUAGGGGUAAAAUCCGUAGAUAUCAAGAAGAAUACCUAUUGCGAAGGCGAUCUGCUGGAACUUAACUGACGCUAAUGCGUGAAAGCGUGGGGAGCAAACAGGAUUAGAUACCCCCGUAGUCCCUGUCUCUUAUAC